UAUUUUCUUAUAUUAAUGAAGUGCCCAAUUGUCUUAGUUGCUACUAAUGUGGCCAACAGGAGAGGUUAGUCACCUGUGCACUUUUGAUUUCAUACGGAUCUGAUUGCACCGGCAUCUGUUGAAUUUCCCAUCCGUUAGAAGCUACAAUCGCGUGGUGAUGUUUUUAUUUGGCGCGUACUUACUCAAGCGUCAUCGGAGAGUAAAAAAUCUAGCUCAUUGAAAGUUUCAGAAAAAAAAGCUGACGUUAUGAAACUUUAUAAAUGAAAUAUAUUGACGUAGGCAAUUUUUUUUAUUUCUUAUUUGAUGUUAAAUGUUGACAAUUGCUAUUGGUUUGAAAUUCUUGAAAUUUAAAUAAACAAUUCUGUAACUAACUAGAUGCAAUUUGAUUUGAUAGUGGUCACGUUUAAUUAUAGUCAUGAUGAGCGUCGGUACCAGUAACUGUACGCGUGGCUGUUGACACGUACCUACAUUGGAUCCGUCGGCUUCGUUGUAAAAUCGGCGAAUAUCUAUUCUGUAACAAGCUAACAGCUAUCCGUUUGGCUUGGUACACUACGUUUAGUUUGAUAGAAGCGACGACAAAGUUGCUCAUGGUACAUGUCCAAUUUUGUCCACGUCCUUGUCCAAUUUCAAUUGUUAGGAUUGUUUGAGGCAAAUGCUUGGAGUCUGCUGUCUAACAGCUCUAAAUAAGCAGAGCCGUGAGAGUGUCUUAUUUUAACUAAAAACGUAAGAUUCUGUUUAAUUUACACAGUUUAGAUAAAAAUUACUGAGUUACUCGUUUAUUGCAUGAACGAUAUUGUUGCUACAAAGUAUUCGCGAUGAAAGAGGCAUCUUGAUCUAUUUUUGACAUACUCGUAGUCCAAGAAGUAGCUAUCGGUACUGCAUGUUUAUGUGAAGGAUAGGUUGAGUCAGAAGGUCUCGUUGCGGUAAAGUGAGAGUGGCACAGCAGCAGCACGGCAUCGCGUUGAGGGCGAGCGCGGUCGAUGAGCUCGAUGCAGAGGGCAGCACGGUUUCGCUGCGGGGGGCUCCUCUAUUCCCCCGCAUCCUUUUCAUCGCCCCGUCUGCUUGCGCACUCUGUAGAAUCGCGCCGCGCGUUCACUAAUGCGUCAUGCCGCCUUCGAAGCUGACGCGCCGCUUUUUACUGCGGCGCAAUACUUCGCGCGCGCCAUGUGAACUUCUGUGUUGACUUAAAAACCAAACGCACACUUAAUUGUCUUUCGCAAAGCGACUUCCUGGAAACUUUGAUUAACAUUCAGUAUGAGUAAAGUGACUGGUGCGUUCAACAAGAGGCUGGAGACACUGCAUCAAGGUGAAAACACGUGCUCGCGUCUUGUCCCGAAACAAUGGAGAUAUGACGGAUCAAGUCUUCGUAUUGAAAGUUCAGAGAAACGAAACUAGAACGGCAUUUCUGGAAUAAUGCAUAUCGUGGCACGAUAGCAUUUUCACAGUCAUGGACGAAGCCUGACCAAAAACAGAAUCCACGUGGUGGAACCGAAGUGUGACUGCUUCAAACCAGCGCACUCUCUUCUCUCUUUCUCUCUCCGCUGCUGUACGUCACACCUAAGGAAAAUAACUUGAUAGUCUACUUCUUUGGAUGAACGUGAGAUUGGCUUGGUGCUUGAAGACCCUUAGCAGGUCUCCGAUUGGCGGCUAGUAUAAUAACGACAAAUAAUGCCUAAAAACACGUUGUUGGUUUCAAUAAAUAAAGUUCA